rnacentral:rRNA from 1 species
UCGAGGAUCUUUUGCAAUGCCCGAAAGGGUGACAAUGCGACGCCGCGUGCGCGAUGAAGGUUUUCGGAUUGUAAAGCGCUGUCGACCGGGAUGAAUCUCCGGAGGCUUAAUAAGCUUUCAGGGUGACAGUACCGGUAGAGGAAGCCACGGCUAACUCCGUGCCAGCAGCCGCGGUAAUACGGAGGUGGCAAGCGUUACUCGGAUUGAUUGGGUGUAAAGGGUAUGUAGGUGGUGAAUUAAGUCGAAUGUGAAAUCCCUUGGCUUAACCAAGGAACUGCAUUCGAAACUGAUUCGCUUGAGCGAUGGAGAGGAAAGCGGAAUUCCCGGUGUAACAGUGAAAUGUGUAGAUAUCGGGAGGAACACCAGUGGCGAAGGCGGCUUUCUGGACAUUUGCUGACACUGAAAUACGAAAGCUAGGGGAGCAAACAGG